AGCAGCCGCGGUAAUUCCAGCUCCAAUAGCGUAUAUUAAAGUUGUUGCAGUUAAAAAGCUCGUAGUUGAAUUUCGGGAUCAUCAGGUUGGUCGUGCCUCUGGUAUGUACUGAUUUCGAUGGUCCCUCCUUCUUGAAGAGCCGUAAUGCCAUUAAUUUGGUGUUGCGGGGAAUCAGGACUGUUACUUUGAAAAAAUUAGAGUGUUUAAAGCAGGCAAUCGCUUGAAUACAUUAGCAUGGAAUAAUGAAAUAGGACGUUCGAUCCUAUUUUGUUGGUUUCUAAGAUUGACGUAAUGAUUAAUAGGGAUAGUUGGGGGCAUUAGUAUUCAAUUGUCAGAGGUGAAAUUCUUGGAUUUAUUGAAGACUAACUACUGCGAAAGCAUUUGCCAAGGAUGUUUUCAUUAAUCAAGAACGAAAGUUAGGGGAUCGAAGACGAUCAGAUACCGUCGUAGUCUUAACCAUAAACUAUGCCGACUAGGGAUCGGAUGAUGUUAAUUUUUAAUGUA
rnacentral:rRNA from 1 species